AGGGACGUAUUUCAUUGGACUUAUAUUCAUGACGCCAGGGCAGAACAAGAAUUAUCUGUAUCAUGUGACCCAAGUUUCUGUGCUCAUAUGGAUGGCCCUGAUGGGGACUGUGUUUAUCGGAAAUGUGAUAAGGGCGAUCAUCUGGCUUCUGAGAAAGUAUGGAUAUAUCAAGCCGAAAGAAAUAGAUGCUUCACUCUAUGUAGACUAUGAGGACAAUGACGACCUUUGAAUAUGUAGAUUGUUUUCUCAAUUUUGUGGCAAUAUCAAUUUAUGUUGUGAAAUACUUCAUUGAAAUGUGGAGAUAUAUAUAUAACAAAAUAUCUCAAAUAUAUUGAUAGAUUGCAGAAUGCAAAACACUUACAAAGAUCCUAGUUUCACCACUUAGUUCUUCGGAGCAUUGGUACUGAUAGCACUUUGAAACUGAGAAAAUUAUAGUGUA
rnacentral:lncRNA from 1 species